rnacentral:rRNA from 1 species
AGAGUUUGAUCAUGGCUCAGAUUGAACGCUGGCGGCAUGCUUUACACAUGCAAGUCGAACGGUAACAGGUUAAGCUGACGAGUGGCGAACGGGUGAGUAAUGCAUCGGAACGUGCCCGAUCGUGGGGGAUAACGCAGCGAAAGCUGCGCUAAUACCGCAUACGAUCUGAGGAUGAAAGCGGGGGACCGUAAGGCCUCGCGCGAUCGGAGCGGCCGAUGUCAGAUUAGGUAGUUGGUGGGGUAAAGGCUCACCAAGCCGACGAUCUGUAGCUGGUCUGAGAGGACGACCAGCCACACUGGGACUGAGACACGGCCCAGACUCCUACGGGAGGCAGCAGUGGGGAAUUUUGGACAAUGGGCGCAAGCCUGAUCCAGCAAUGCCGCGUGCAGGAAGAAGGCCUUCGGGUUGUAAACUGCUUUUGUACGGAGCGAAAAGGCUCUCUCUAAUACAGGGGGCUCGAGUGACGGUAC